rnacentral:SRP_RNA from 1 species
GCCAGGCACGGUGGUGCGUGCCUAUAGUCCCAACUACUCGGGAGGCUGAGGAGGGAGGAUCGCUUGAGCCCAGGAGUUCUGGGCUGUAGUGUGCUGUGCCAGUUGGAUGUCCGCACUAAGUUGAGCAUCAAUAUGGUGACCUUCCAGGAGCAAGGAACCACCAGGUUGCCUAAGGAGGGGUGAACCGGCCCAGGUCGGAAACAGACCAGGUAAAAACUCCUGUGCUGAUGAGUAGUGGGAUGGCACCUGUGAAUAGCCACUGCACUCCAGCCUGGGCAACAUAGGGAGACCCCGUCUUA